rnacentral:rRNA from 1 species
UACGUAGGGUGCGAGCGUUGUCCGGAAUCACUGGGCGUAAAGAGCUCGUAGGUGGUUUGUCGCGUUGUCCGUGAAAACUCACAACUCAAUUGUGGGCGUGCGGGCGAUACGGGCAGACUGGAGUACUGCAGGGGAGACUGGAAUUCCUGGUGUAGCGGUGGAAUGCGCAGAUAUCAGGAGGAACACCGGUGGCGAAGGCGGGUCUCUGGGCAGUAACUGACGCUGAGGAGCGAAAGCGUGGGGAGCGAACAGG